AUUGAACGCUGGCGGAAUGCUUUACACAUGCAAGUCGAACGGCAGCACGGGGGCAGCCCUGGUGGCGAGUGGCGAACGGGUGAGUAAUACAUCGGAACGUGCCCGGUCGUGGGGGAUAACGUAGCGAAAGUUACGCUAAUACCGCAUACGAUCUGAGGAUGAAAGCGGGGGACCUUCGGGCCUCGCGCGAUCGGAGCGGCCGAUGUCAGAUUAGGUAGUUGGUGGGGUAAAGGCCUACCAAGCCGACGAUCUGUAGCUGGUCUGAGAGGACGACCAGCCACACUGGGACUGAGACACGGCCCAGACUCCUACGGGAGGCAGCAGUGGGGAAUUUUGGACAAUGGUCGCAAGCCUGAUCCAGCCAUUCCGCGUGCAGGACGAAGGCCUUCGGGUUGUAAACUGCUUUUGUACGGAACGAAAAGGCUCUGGCUAAUACCUGGGGCUCAUGGCGGUACCGUAAGAAUAAGCACCGGCUAACUACGUG
rnacentral:rRNA from 1 species